rnacentral:lncRNA from 1 species
GUGGAAUGCUGAGAAAGGUGAAAUAAUUCGAACGUCUCCCUGGUGUUCCUUCUCCCUAACCCAUCUAUUUCAAGGUUAAAGAGUCAUGGACUGGAACCAGGAAAGUUUCAACCAGGAGAAUCAAGUUACAACUCUGAGAUUAAGAUCAUAAGUGGUUGAGUUAUUGGGAGGUCAAAAUCAUAGCACAGCAACAACUCAUCAGUAUCCGGGAUUAACAAAGACAUAGACACAAAUCUUGACGAACACUUCAGCCCUGCCUCCAGAAUGAAAGGGGGAAACCUAGACCUGAAUGGGCUUGACCAUCUCACAGCUGCUCACGUGAUGACCAUAUUCGUGGCAGGUAAAAAGAUUGCUGUAUCAACUCAAGAAAGCAGUAGCCUCACUGUCUUUGUAUUUUGAAUUGCAACAACAACUUUGAUAUCAACAAUGAAGCAAUGGUAUCUAAGAACAAAAGAGCAUUUGCCAAAAGUCAUCAUAAUAUCAAGUGAUUGUAUAAGCAGAAACAAGCUGUCACAGACCUGUGUGUCAGCUAACAUAAGGAGAAUGCUUUCUUCUGAUGCUAUUUAUUUACAGGCAGUUUUAAUAUAUAUCACUUCAAUUAUAUCUACAUCAAAUAAAAUAAAAAAUUAGUGAAGCCCCCAGAUUCUUCAUUGGACCAGAAGACACAGAAAUAAAUCCUGGAAAUUAUCAACAUUUCUUCCACCAUGCAGAUGAAGAUGAUGAGGAGGAAGAUGAUUCUCCACCAGAAAGGCAGAUUGUGGUUGGAAUAUGUUCCAUGGCAAAGAAAUCCAAAUCCAAACCAAUGAAGGAAAUUCUUGAAUGGGUCUCCUUAUUUAAAUAUAUCACAGUAGUGGUAUUUGAAGAGGAGGUUAUUUUGAGGGAACCAGUGGAAAACUGGCCUUUAUGUGAUUGUCUUUUUUCUUUGCACUCUAAAGGAUUUCCACUGGACAAAGUGGUUGCCUAUGCAAAACUCAGGAAUCCAUUUGUAAUCAAUGACUUGAAUAUGCAGUAUCUCAUACAAGAUUGGAGAGAGGUAUAUAGUAUUCUUCAAGCUGAAGUUAUUUUACUUCCUUGUUAUGCAAUUUUGAACCGUGACCCAAAUAAUCCCAAAGAAUGUAAUCUGAUUGAAGGGGAAGAUCAUGUAGAAGUAAAUGAGGAAGUUUUUCAAAAGCCAUUUGUAGAAAAGCCAGUCAGUGCAGAAGAUCACAAUGUUUACAUUUAUUACCCAACUUCUGCUGGCAGUGGAAGUCAAAGACUCUUUAGAAAGAUUGGCAGUAGAAGUAGUGCUUAUUCUCCACAAAGCAAUGUACAAAAAUCAAGCUCAUAUACACAUGAAGAGUUUAUGCCCGGAGACGAUACUAAUGUUAAGAGAUUCCUCAUGUUUUGCACCACCAACAUCUUUGGCAGUCUGAAGCCUAUGGACUCUUUCUUAACAAAAGUGUUCUUAAAUGCUUUAAACAUGUAAGAUUAUGAUGGAGACAAAUUUUAUUCAAAUAUAAUAAAAUAUUUAAAAAUAAAAAAGUAAUAGACACAAAUAUGCCAUUUGUUUAGAAAAUGUUUCAUACUCAGCAGAAGUAUCUUGUCAUAUCUCUGGGCAAGGAAAGAACUCUGGGAGAGUCUAAAGUUGCCUUUCUUUGUAUUUUAUUAUGUCCUUUUUGGGGAAGACUUGUUCAGACAUGAUCAACUUAUGGGUUCUACUGUAAGAUUUUAUAAUAUUUUGUCAUAGUUCACAUGAAGUUCUUCCUCACAUCUUCACUUGGCUCAUUUGUGACUAUUUCCGUGGGACUUUUUUAUUUAUUAAUAUUUUCCAAGAGGAAAGAAUAAAAAAUUCAUGUACUCUGAAUCCUUUAGUUUCCUCAGAAGGCCAUGAAGCCCCAGACAAGCCAGAAGCAAUUAUUCCCAUUUUAAGGACAUUCGAGCCUGCAUACAAUUGUAAUACAAACCAAGCAAAGCUCUUUCAGAAGGCACAACUCUACUUCAUGAUCCAUGAAAAACUGGUUUUAAUAUUUGCAUGCAUCUUCUUCCUAUGAAGGUCUGUUUGAACUGGAUAUUUCUAUAGCAUGCACAAAUGAUAGAUUGUUAUGAUCAAUUAAUAUUCAAAAUUUCCCCCAGAGAGAGAGAGAGAAUGAGAGGUAGAAUCACUCACAGGUACAGAAAGAACUACCAUUAUAAACAGACUAUUAUAAAGACAAGCUUCCUUCUGUGAUGGUUUCCCAAUGAAUCACACUUCUCUGUCUCCAUAUGCUUGUGUAGUCCCUGUCACAUUUACUCUGGGCUUGACCAUUGACUUGCUCCAGCCAACAAGAUAUCAGCAGAUAUACAGCAAGCAAAGGCUUGAUAAGCAUGUGUGCACUGGGGCUUGCUCUCUUGGAGCACUUCUGCCACCAUGUGAAGAAGCCAGGAUGAAAGACCUCAUAGAGAGAGACCCAGCUGGCUUAGCUGGUCCAACCAUCCAAGCUGAGACUGUAGACAUCCCGUGGAAAUCACUCAUCUACUCUCCAGUUACAUGAAUCAACUUGUUUAGAUUCCACAUACGUGUGAGAUUAUGUGAUAAUUGUGCUCCUGUGCCUGGCUUAUUUCACUUAACACAGUGUCCUCCAGGUUCAUUCAUAUUGUUGCAAUUGGCAGAAGAUAUCUACAUUCUGAUGUUUAUUGCAGCACUAUUCACAACAGCCAAGAUAUUGGAAUGAAUCUAAGUGUCGAAAAUGAAGGAAUGGAUAAAGAAAAUGUGGUAAAUAUACAUAGUGGAAAGCUAUGUAUAGUCAUAAAAAUAAUGAAUUUUGUUUUUUGUCCAUGGGCAAGUUGAUUGGCUGAAAACUACAAAGAAAGAAGGACCGUUUUCCUUGGAGCAGGCUGACAAGAUUUAUCAGAGAAAGCAAAUUUAAUUAUUAAUGGGUUGCUUGAGAAACUUUAUGAUUUCAGCUGUGGAGUAUAUUCAAUUGCUGUCUCUGUGUAACACAGCCUGGGCUCUUUCGUUGGCUUUCCUACCUUAGUUAAACCUAGACUGCACCACUUUCCUCACUAUAAAUCCUCAUGGGACAGUGUUGAACUUUUCCUGAUUCCUUGCAGGUUUUAUUUCAUUUUGUUUUGAUAUUAAGAUCCUACAACUUUAAUACAUAUUAACACUGUGUUUGUUAUUAUAAGAAUAAAUACAUUUCAGGUUAUAAAAUAGCUAUUAAAACUAGAUUCUACUUACUAUGUUAAAUCAUACAAAUGCUUCUAUGUUUCACUUGUGUGAUUUUGGAGCAGUGAUGGCCAUCAGAGUCACUAUACUUGAAACAUGAAACUUGCUUUAAUCGUACUAUUAGCUUCUAAUAUUAUAAUAAGACAAUAAAUGAUGUCAUAUU